AACGAACGCUGGCGGCAUGCCUAACACAUGCAAGUCGAACGAGACCUUCGGGUCUAGUGGCGCACGGGUGCGUAACGCGUGGGAACCUGCCCUUAGGUUCGGAAUAACUCCCCGAAAGGGGUGCUAAUACCGGAUAAUGUCUUCGGACCAAAGAUUUAUCGCCUUUGGAUGGGCCCGCGUUGGAUUAGCUAGUUGGUAGGGUAAAAGCCUACCAAGGCGACGAUCCAUAGCUGGUCUGAGAGGAUGAUCAGCCACACUGGGACUGAGACACGGCCCAGACCCCCAGGGGGAGAGGGAGGGGGGAAGAUUGGACAAAGGGCGAAACCCCGAUCCACAAAGGCCGUGGGAGGGAAAAAGGCCUUGGGGUUGUAAAGCUCUUUUACCCGGGAUGAUAAUGACCAGACCGGGGAAAAAAACCCCGGGAAUCCCCAG
rnacentral:rRNA from 1 species